CCCUUAGAUGUUCUGGGCAGCACGCGCGCUACAAUGGUCUUCGCAAACGGAUGCAUUCUCGAAGGAGAAUGCCAAUCUUGGAAUCUAUGCCUUGGUCGGGACAGUUGCUUGCAAUUUUUCGACUCGAACCAGGAAUUCCUUGUAAUCGUGAUUCAUCACAUCACGAUGAAUACGUCCCUGCCCUUUGUACACACCGCCCGUCGCUCCUACCGAUCGAAGAGUUAGGUGAAUUGUUUUGAUCGAUAAGAUUUGACUAUGGUCAACUCUCGUUGGGAAAUUCUGUGAAUCCGACUGUUUAGAGGAAGGAAAAGUCGUAACA
rnacentral:rRNA from 1 species